rnacentral:rRNA from 1 species
GACGAACGCUGGCGGCGUGCUUAACACAUGCAAGUCGAACGGUAAGGCCCUUUUGGGGGUACACGAGUGGCGAACGGGUGAGUAACACGUGAGUAACCUGCCCCAGUCUCUGGGAUAACAGCCGGAAACGGUUGCUAAUACCGGAUAUUCAGCUUCUGCCGCAUGGUGGUUGUUGGAAAGUUCCGGCGGUCUGGGAUGGACUCGCGGCCUAUCAGCUUGUUGGUGAGGUAGUGGCUCACCAAGGCUUCGACGGGUAGCCGGCCUGAGAGGGUGACCGGCCACAUUGGGACUGAGAUACGGCCCAAACUCCUACGGGAGGCAGCAGUGGGGAAUAUUGCACAAUGGACGGAAGUCUGAUGCAGCAACGCCGCGUGCGGGAUGACGGCCUUCGGGUUG